UAAAGACCCAAAAAAGAUUACGUAAGAUCAACAAACACAACACACCCAAAACCACAGUAAAUCAACCAAAUCUCCCCAGAUAUCAAAUACCCAAAAACACUUACCUUGUUCUUGAAAUAUAAACAGAUCAGCAGAAAUAAUAACUCCCAAAUCAGAAAAAGAAAAAAUCAAGACAACCCCACUUACUGUUUUGAGCUUCAAUUACACAAAACUG
rnacentral:misc_RNA from 1 species